UUUUACCAUCUGCCAAGAAUGACCUGGAGUCAUUCCCAUGUUUGCCCAGGCGCUCCCAGCUGACCUCACCAAUGCCAGCCAGGUGCACCCACAGGAUGAUGAUGACUG